GACCAUCCUCCAAGGCUAAAUACUCCUGACUGACCGAUAGUGAACCAGUACCGUGAGGGAAAGGCGAAAAGAACCCCGGCGAGGGGAGUGAAAAAGAACCUGAAACCGUGUACGUACAAGCAGUGGGAGCACGCUUAGGCGUGUGACUGCGUACCUUUUGUAUAAUGGGUCAGCGACUUAUAUUCUGUAGCAAGGUUAACCGAAUAGGGGAGCCGAAGGGAAACCGAGUCUUAACUGGGCGUUAAGUUGCAGGGUAUAGACCCGAAACCCGGUGAUCUAGCCAUGGGCAGGUUGAAGGUUGGGUAACACUAACUGGAGGACCGAACCGACUAAUGUUGAAAAAUUAGCGGAUGACUUGUGGCUGGGGGUGAAAGGCCAAUCAAACCGGGAGAUAGCUGGUUCUCCCCGAAAGCUAUUUAGGUAGCGCCUCGUGAAUUCAUCUCCGGGGGUAGAGCACUGUUUCGGCAAGGGGGUCAUCCCGACUUACCAACCCGAUGCAAACUGCGAAUACCGGAGAAUGUUAUCACGGGAGACACACGGCGGGUGCUAACGUCCGUCGUGAAGAGGGAAACAACCCAGACCGCCAGCUAAGGUCCCAAAGUCAUGGUUAAGUGGGAAACGAUGUGGGAAGGCCCAGACAGCCAGGAUGUUGGCUUAGAAGCAGCCAUCAUUUAAAGAAAGCGUAAUAGCUCACUGGUCGAGUCGGCCUGCGCGGAAGAUGUAACGGGGCUAAACCAUGCACCGAAGCUGCGGCAGCGACGCUUAUGCGUUGUUGGGUAGGGGAGCGUUCUGUAAGCCUGUGAAGGUGUACUGUGAGGUAUGCUGGAGGUAUCAGAAGUGCGAAUGCUGACAUAAGUAACGAUAAAGCGGGUGAAAAGCCCGCUCGCCGGAAGACCAAGGGUUCCUGUCCAACGUUAAUCGGGGCAGGGUGAGUCGACCCCUAAGGCGAGGCCGAAAGGCGUAGUCGAUGGGAAACAGGUUAAUAUUCCUGUACUUGGUGUUACUGCGAAGGGGGGACGGAGAAGGCUAUGUUGGCCGGGCGACGGUUGUCCCGGUUUAAGCGUGUAGGCUGGUUUUCCAGGCAAAUCCGGAAAAUCAAGGCUGAGGCGUGAUGACGAGGCACUACGGUGCUGAAGCAACAAAUGCCCUGCUUCCAGGAAAAGCCUCUAAGCAUCAGGUAACAUCAAAUCGUACCCCAAACCGACACAGGUGGUCAGGUAGAGAAUACCAAGGCGCUUGAGAGAACUCGGGUGAAGGAACUAGGCAAAAUGGUGCCGUAACUUCGGGAGAAGGCACGCUGAUAUGUAGGUGAAGUCCCUCGCGGAUGGAGCUGAAAUCAGUCGAAGAUACCAGCUGGCUGCAACUGUUUAUUAAAAACACAGCACUGUGCAAACACGAAAGUGGACGUAUACGGUGUGACGCCUGCCCGGUGC
rnacentral:rRNA from 1 species